rnacentral:rRNA from 1 species
ACCCUUUAAUGUUUGAUGUUCUAACGUGGACCCGUGAUCCGGGUUGCGGACAGUGUCUGGUGGGUAGUUUGACUGGGGCGGUCUCCUCCUAAAGAGUAACGGAGGAGCACGAAGGUUGGCUAAUCCUGGUCGGACAUCAGGAGGUUAGUGCAAUGGCAUAAGCCAGCUUGACUGCGAGCGUGACGGCGCGAGCAGGUGCGAAAGCAGGUCAUAGUGAUCCGGUGGUUCUGAAUGGAAGGGCCAUCGCUCAACGGAUAAAAGGUACUCCGGGGAUAACAGGCUGAUACCGCCCAAGAGUUCAUAUCGACGGCGGUGUUUGGCACCUCGAUGUCGGCUCAUCACAUCCUGGGGCUGAAGUAGGUCCCAAGGGUAUGGCUGUUCGCCAUUUAAAGUGGUACGCGAGCUGGGUUUAGAACGUCGUGAGACAGUUCGGUCCCUAUCUGCCGUGGGCGCUGGAGAACUGAGGGGGGCUGCUCCUAGUACGAGAGGACCGGAGUGGACGCAUCACUGGUGUUCGGGUUGUCAUGCCAAUGGCACUGCCCGGUAGCUAAAUGCGGAAGAGAUAAGUGCUGAAAGCAUCUAAGCACGAAACUUGCCCCGAGAUGAGUUCUCCCUGAGACUUAAAGUCUCCUGAAGGAACGUUGAAGACGACGACGUUGAUAGGCCGGGUGUGUAAGCGCAGCGAUGCGUUGAGCUAACCGGU